rnacentral:rRNA from 1 species
GGAUAACCUACCCUUAGGACCGGGAUAACCUUGGGAAACUGAGGAUAAUACUGGAUAGGCAAUUAUUCCUGGAAUGGUUUUUUGUUUAAAUGUUUUUUCGCCUAAGGAUGGGUCUGCGGCCGAUUAGGUAGUUGGUUAGGUAACGGCUUACCAAGCCAUUGAUCGGUACGGGUUGUGAGAGCAAGAGCCCGGAGAUGGAACCUGAGACAAGGUUCCAGGCCCUACGGGGUGCAGCAGGCGCGAAACCUCCGCAAUGUGAGAAAUCGCGACGGGGGGAUCCCAAGUGCCAUUCUUAACGGGAUGGCUUUUCAUUAGUGUAAAGAGCUUUUGGAAUAAGGGCUGGGCAAGACCGGUGCCAGCCGCCGCGGUAACACCGGCAGCUCUAGUGGUAGCAGUUUUUAAUGGGCCUAAAGCGUCCGUAGCCGGUUUAAUAAGUCUCUGGUGAAAUCCUGUAGCUUAACUGUGGGAAUUGCUGGAGAUACUAUUAGACUUGAGGCCGGGAGAGGUUAGAGGUACUCCCAGGGUAGAGGUGAAAUUCUGUAAUCCUGGGAGGACCGCCUGUUGCGAAGGCGUCUAACUGGAACGGUUCUGACGGUGAGGGACGAAAGUUAGGGGCGCGAACCGGAUUAGAUACCCGGGUAGUCCUAACUGUAAACGAUGCGGACUUGGUGUUGGGGUGGCUUUGAGCUGCUCCAGUGCCGAAGGGAAGCUGUUAAGUCCGCCGCCUGGGAAGUACGGUCGCAAGACUGAAACUU